AUCUGAGCUGCUACACGUCUCCCGUGAGCUCCAACUAUGUCGGCAACAACACCUACUGCAUCUCCACAGUUACCGACCACAGCAACGGCAACCGAGACAUCAUCAAAGGAUGUGCCUCACUAACGCAGUGCCAGCAGAGUUACUCCGCCACCCGAGCCCAGCCUCGUUGUCUUGGUAUUGACCACCAGGUGUCAGGCUAUGCGAUCACGUGCUCCUUCUGUUGCAAGGGAGAUAACUGCAACAGGGGCCCUCACCUGACGCCAACUGAAGGAGUCCAAUCCGUGGGGAAGGCGAUCGUUGCAUAGAUGAAUUCGAUAACAUUCAAAUACUUGUACAUCUUAAGUAACGAGGAAUUAUUUGUACAUUCAAUACUCAUAAAAGAAAUACCCAGAUCUAGUGCA